ACUCCUGCGGGAGGCAGCAGUGGGGAAUAUUGGACAAUGGGCGCAAGCCUGAUCCAGCCAUGCCGCGUGAGUGAUGAAGGCCCUAGGGUUGUAAAGCUCUUUCACCGGUGAAGAUAAUGACGGUAACCGGAGAAGAAGCCCCGGCUAACUUCGUGCCAGCAGCCGCGGUAAUACGAAGGGGGCUAGCGUUGUUCGGAUUUACUGGGCGUAAAGCGCACGUAGGCGGACUAUUAAGUCAGGGGUGAAAUCACGGGGCUCAACCCCGGAACUGCCUUUGAUACUGGUAGUCUUGAGUUCGAGAGAGGUGAGUGGAAUUCCGAGUGUAGAGGUGAAAUUCGUAGAUAUUCGGAGGAACACCAGUGGCGAAGGCGGCUCACUGGCUCGAUACUGACGCUGAGGUGCGAAAGCGUGGGGAGCAAACAGGAUUAGAUACCCCUGUAGUCCCA
rnacentral:rRNA from 1 species